UACGGGGGGGGCAAGCGUUGUUCGGAAUUACUGGGCUUAAAGGGCGCGUAGGCGGGCGAGCAAGUCCGGGGUGAAAUCUUUCGGCUCAACCGGAAAAGGGCCUUGGAUACUGCUUGUCUGGAGGGAGGUAGGGGCCCGUGGAACUUCCGGUGGAGCGGUGAAAUGCGUUGAUAUCGGAAGGAACGCCGGUGGCGAAAGCGACGUGCUGGACCUCUUCUGACGCUGAGGCGCGAAAGCUAGGGGAGCGAACGGG
rnacentral:rRNA from 1 species